ACUGAAUCUAACUUGUUUGUGUUUAUCAAGGUGUUUAGUUUCGCUUUACUGCCGAUGCUGCAAUCAACUGGUUGAUAAAUUAUUUCUUCCUGAGUUUAUGUAAAUCGUUAAUUGUUUCAUAUUUUUAAUUAAAUAUAUAAUAAUUUGAAUAUGGAAACAUCAGAAAGUAACUUUCGUGUUUUGUCCAUUCAAAGCCACGUUGUUUAUGGUUAUGUUGGAAAUAAAAGUGCUUGUUUCCCUUUACAAGUUCUUGGGUUUGAGGUUGAUAUGAUUAAUUCAGUGCAGUUAUCCAAUCAUACAGGUUAUGAAUCAAUUAAGGGGCAGAUUUUAAAAGCUGAUGAACUUACAGAACUCUAUGAUGGGCUGAAAACAAAUAAUCUUUUACACUGUUCUCAUUUAUUAACUGGUUAUGUUGGGAGUGUUUCUUUUUUAACAAAAUUAAGUGAUAUUAUUAAAGAAAUGAAGAAAAAUAAUCCUGAUUUGUAUGUUGUAAUUGAUCCAGUAAUGGGUGACAAUGGACAAAUGUAUGUGCCUGAUGAAGUACUUCCAGUUUAUAAAAAUGAUUUUAUGAAUCUAGCAAACUUAAUGACUCCAAAUCAGUUUGAAGCUGAGCUUCUGACUGGCAUCACUAUAAAAUCUAAGGAGAGUGUUUUUCAAGUUUUAAAAGCUUUCCAUGAGAAAGGAGUUGAAACUGUAGUUUUAUCUAGUGUUCAGUUAGAAACUUCAAAAAAUCUCUUUUUGUUUGGAAGUUCAAUAAAAAAAAAUAAAGAAACUUCUGUUUAUAUGGAAAUUCCAAAACUAUCUGGAGUGUACACUGGAACUGGAGAUGUGUUUACAGCUCUUCUUUUAGCUUGGAUGGCAAGAACAGAUGGAGAUUUAAAACUCUCAUGCCAAAGAACCAUCAAUUCACUUCAUAGUAUUUUAAUUAGAACGUCAAAUUAUGCUUCAAAGGAAAGCAAUCUUCCAACUUCAGCUCGUGUGGAGCUAAAAUUAAUUCAAAGCAAACACGAUAUUGAGAAUCCACCCUCGCAUUUGGAAUGUCAUCAAUUAGAAUCAAAUUAGCAAGAAUUUAUCUAUUGAAGAUUAGAACAUUUUAGUUUGGGAUUCCUGAUUCUAAAGUCAUGUUACAAUUAAAAAGAAGGAAAAAUUACUGCCGUGGGCCGCACAUCGAGCGUCGGCGGCCGCAUGUGACUUGAGGGCUGCAUGUUGGGCACCCCUAGUCUAUAGAAAGAAGUCCCUUUACCGCAAGGUCUAAGUCCGUCUGCUGCUAUAGAAACAAGAAAUAGCACAUUCCAAAGAGGGGAGAUUCUUUUUUUCCGAUUCCCUUUCUCUUGCUGACCCAAGUCAAAACCUGUCUUAAAUAUUGACCCUACAUGAUCUAGUUAAACCUCAUAAACAGUGUUAACAGACUGUCUUGUGAGUGCGUGGAAUAUCAUCAACAUUUAUUCAUUACUUAUAAACACUAGACUAAUGUUGGCUAAAAAUAUAUGAUAUAUAAUAAAAAUAAUUUAGUAACUGGCAGAAUAAUUGAUAAUAAAUACACCAGUUUUAAUGUCCUAUAUCUAUAAGCUAUUUACACAAAUAAAAAAUUAUGUUGGUUUUGACUUCUAAACAAUAAGUUUCGACAACUAACAUAUUCCCAGAUAACUGAAAAAAAUAAACAAAAUGCAGCAAAUUAGAUAUGAAUAUAAUAUGUUUUGAUUCAAAAAUAGACCAUCCAAAAUGACUUAUAUUUAUGGAAAGUGUGAAUAAAAAUUUCAAACUAGGAAAUUCUCAUAAGUUACGAAUGCAUACAAAUCUACAGUGCAAUUAUACAUCAUCAUUUGAUCAUCUAUAUUUAAAGCAACUUUUUAAUCAUACAAUAUGAUCACCUAUAAUUAGAACUUGAGAUGUGCCACUCUUUCAUUCAAAAGCGAGUUGGAGCAUCAAAAGAAGCAGCUAUUUAAAUAUCUUUAAAAGUGUAGUAAAAUUUUGAAACGCAAUUUUUAUAAAGUGAAAAUGUAUUUUAGUUGCUGUAUAGAAAUAAACAUUUCGGUGCAGAGGUUCUCAUAGGCGUUAUAAUAAAUAUGCACUUAUGGAAUUUUGAAUGGUACUUCAUAUGUUGGUCAUUGUAAUGGGUAGUUGUCCUAAAGAGACAAACUGUAUUUAUAAUAUGGAAAUUUGUAUAAUUUUUUUUGUUUAAUAUUACUAGAAAUUUUAAUUUUGCUAUCACUUGCAAAACAUGCUGUAUGUACUUACACAUUACAGUAAAGAUUGCUUCAAAAUCAAUGCGACCAACCAAAUCUUGCUCAUUCUGUUUUAUGAUAUUUCUGUUACAAGUUCCUUUUACAUUUUUUAUAUAUAUCAUAUAGAUUUUAUUGUUUCUGAAUAUUUUAUAUUUAUAUCUUUUCUGUUAGUGAUUGUAAUUUAUAUUUUUAUAUAGUUUGAAAUGACUCAUAUUUAGUCAAAUAUAUGAAGAAGAUUUUAUGACAUUGUUAUUGCUCUACUUAAGAAUCAAAAUUUUGUGCUUUCUAUUGUUACUAAUUUAUUAUGUGUCUUGCAAGAAUAUUGUACAGUCGUGUGCAAAUUAUUAAUUUAUAGCCUUCAUUGUCACAAAUGGAUCUCACAGACCAGAGCUAAAUAGAAUUACUUGAUGUUUAAUGGAAAAUAAUUAUAUUGUUAAUGAGUAUUGCACAGCUGAGAAAAGACAUUUUAUACAUCAUAUUAAAAAUAAUUUGUAAACAAUUUUUUUAACACACACACAUAUACACACAGGACUGCCAACUUAAUAUGUUUUUUGGGAACAUUUCUUUCAGUGGUAGCAAGGCAAGCUUUAAUCUCACAAUUAAAAUAUGCUGUAACCAAAAAUUCAUCGAAAAUACAUAAUAAAUUGCACAAGAUUGUAAAUAUAUCACAACAGUUAAAUACAGUUGUGUGCAAAGUUUUUUAAUCAUUGCAUUUAAGUUUCCUUGCAGAGUUAGAGGUAAAAUCGCAAGUUCGUUCGUGUUACGAAUCAUCGAAAUAAUAUUUUUUAACUGUUAUAAUUUGGACAAAAUUUUUUCGAUUUUUUCGAUGUUCGAUUUUUAAUUUUUUGCUUGCAUUUUAGCAGCAAAUAGCUCAUUUCUGAACCUUCAAAAUUGAUAAAAUAUAACUAAUAAAGCAUUUAGGAGAAUGCAUUUGUACCAAAACAAAAACAAAAUAAAUUAAAGAUGAUCCAAAUGCUGUUUAGUAAGAAUUUUUUUUUAAUUGUUUAGAUCAUAAAUUUAUAAGCUUACCCUGCCGCUUGCAGUGCGAUAAGAAUCUAAUCGGAAAGCAUUGGUGAAUAUCGUCUCUCGAAGUGCAAUAAAUUUGGUUGAACCCCUAUUUAACCAGAAAAUUUACUGAAAUAACAUAAUGCAAUUUUUUAAUCUUUUAUGUUCACAAACAUAUAAAAAUGCUGCCAAACGAAUACUUGAUGAACUAUUAACUAAUAUUUUGUACUAAAAGUUUGUUCAUUUAAAUAAAAAAUAAUAUAACAUAACAAAGGAAACAAGUUUUUAUACGCCUUUAUUUCAACCAUGGCUAUGCUUUUAUAAUGCAUAUAUUGGGUAUCAAUUGAUUAAUUAAGCGUUUCCGCACAUAAUUUUUAUAAUUUCACCAAAUAUUCUGUGAAUUUCAGGCCUUUUUUCUGCAACAAACUUGCAAAUUCUUUGCUGAAAUGUCUGAAAUAGUUCUUUUGCUUUUCUGUCCUGGUAUGCUUUAUACUUUUGUAGAACUUUAUUAAAAAUUGUGUAUCUGUUUUUCUGAUAACAUGAGCAUUAUAUAAUUUUGUUGCCUAGCUCUUAAACUCUCCUACUUAUUUUAUGUUGAAAUUGACCAAUUUCUUGCAAAUGUUUGCGCAGCAGUGACAGUCUUUUUUUUAAAUCUAUUAUAAUCUACUAUAUUAUUUAACCUCUGCUUAAAUCCAUGAAAUAACUGGAGACUGGAAUUUAUUUAUAGCAGCCAAGUGCAUUUUAUACAGUUAACAUGUAAGAUGGUGUAACGAUCUGCACAACGGAUGUAAUGUGUAAAAUAUACUAAAAAUGUGCUGCUGGUCUAACUUUUGCACACAACUGUAUAUAAUGGUAACUUCUUUGUGUGCUAUUGUUUGGAAACUGCUCACAUUAAAAUUCAAGUCUUUCAUCAAUGUGACUUUAAUCGAUCAACAAUGUUACUUUAUUAAUUAAGUUGUGAAAAUAACAUGAUAUUAAUAUUAUUAAAUUGGAAUAGCUGUACUUUAAAUAAAUCUGUUCUGCAAUUAUAACUAUCUAUCUGAAUUGUUAUUUGCUGCUGUGUUAUGGAAUGCUAGUCGUUAAAUGUAAAAUUAUUUUAUAAUACUCCAGAUUUUUAUUUUAAAUUAUUGGUAUUUAAUUCCUGUGAUGGUUUGAUAUUUACAGAGAUUAUUUUACUAAAUGUUUUGCUCUUAUUUUGCAUAGACUUAUGAAAUGAAUGUAUUAGAUAAAAUAAAAAGAAAGUUUAGUGGAA
rnacentral:misc_RNA from 1 species